UAAACGGAUGCGAUGACGAUCGGUUGGU
rnacentral:sRNA from 1 species